UACGUAGGGUGCAAGCGUUAAUCGGAAUUACUGGCGUAAAGCGUGCGCAGGCGGCUUUGCAAGACAGAUGUGAAAUCCCCGGGCUUAACCUGGGAACUGCAUUUGUGACUGCAAGGCUGGAGUGCGGCAGAGGGGAUGGAAUUCCGCGUGUAGCAGUGAAAUGCGUAGAUAUGCGGAGGAACACCGAUGGCGAAGGCAAUCCCCUGGGCCUGCACUGACGCUCAUGCACGAAAGCGUGGGGAGCAAACAGG
rnacentral:rRNA from 1 species